AGAGUUUGAUCCUGGCUCAGGACGAACGCUGGCGGCGUGCUUAACACAUGCAAGUCGAACGGAAAGGCCCUUCGGGGUACUCGAGUGGCGAACGGGUGAGUAACACGUGGGUGAUCUGCCCUGCACUUUGGGAUAAGCCUGGGAAACUGGGUCUAAUACCGAAUAUGACCACGCUCUUCAUGGGGUGUGGUGGAAAGCUUUUGCGGUGUGGGAUGGGCCCGUGGCCUAUCAGCUUGUUGGUGGGGUAAUGGCCUACCAAGGCGACGACGGGUAGCCGGCCUGAGAGGGUGACCGGCCACACUGGGACUGAGAUACGGCCCAGACUCCUACGGGAGGCAGCAGAAGGG
rnacentral:rRNA from 1 species